rnacentral:lncRNA from 1 species
GUCACCUCAUCCACUGAUGCAUCUGAAAUUAUAUUUAAAUGGAAAAACUCAUGCAACUUAUUGGGCCAGCCUGUGGAAUCACACAGCAUGGGCGUGUGCACACACUCAGAAGCCUGCGAUGUUAUCGCGGGAUAUCAUCCUGCCUCACUUCCUGUACUGGAUCGUCACUGUGCAUCACAUGACUGCAGGCUGCUUUUUGUCAUGGUCCAUGUUAAGAUCCAGAUGAAUUUGGCCCAUCCUAUUCCAGUGGUACCAGAGUGGGUCCUCUCAGCAGCAGCUAUCAACCCCCCUCUGCAGUAG